rnacentral:Y_RNA from 1 species
UGUUAAGGUCCGAGUACGAUGGUGUUUACAAUUAAUUGAUCACAGCCAGUUACAGAUUUCUUUAUUCCUUCUCCACUCCCACUGCUUCACUUAACUAACCUUGU